rnacentral:lncRNA from 1 species
UGAUAUUUAUAAUUUAUUCAAUGCAAUUUUGCUUUCUUAGAAUUGUUUUCGAAUAAGCUAGUAAAAAUUAUAUCUAGAAUUAAUAACUCAAAUCUCGCUUUUAAUUAGUCUUUUUAUAACUUCUGCUUUGCUUUUUUCGAACAAUGGAUUAUUUAGAUUAAAUUUAAUUUAUUAUAUGAAUGUUAAAACAAAACGAAUGUAUAAUAGAAUAAAAAAAGCAUUGUAAAUUCACAUGGAACGUAAAUAUAUAGCCGCAUCUAAACUUACUGAAGCAAUUAGUAAUCACCUUCAGGAAAAAAACAAGAUUGCGUUAACUCACCCUAACAUUUCUCAGACGGUCAUCAUUCUAAUGUCUCAAUUCCGGUCCUGUGGCGUGACAUACCGACUAAGAACCGCCCGUAUUCUACUCUUCUCAGAAAUCUAUCCAUUCAUGUAAGACUAUUUUCAAUUACGACUUCGACACUGGAUUCUAAACAAAAGAAGUCGAUGUCUUUGAUCUUUCGAACCAUUUAAAAUUAUUACCUCUGACUUAAACUUAUGUUAUAAGUUUACAAGUUAAAAGUUCCUAUUUUUAUUCGAGCCUAUCUAAAGUUUUAGCUAACAAAAUGAAACUUUAGAAAGGCUCAAAUAAAAAUCAAAUUCAGGAUAAGUAGAUAUAAGCAAAAAAGCAAAACUACUGAAAGGUUAUACUAUAGACCUAUCUUAUAUCUCUAGCAUAAUCUUUAAUAGUUUCGUUUAAAAUGACUUAAUAAUAUCAACAAUAGCCUAAUUUUAUUAUAUAUACUGGCAUUUUUUGAUUAAAUGUUUUAUAUAAUGAUGAUGAAC